AUUGAACGCUGGCGGCAGGCCUAACACAUGCAAGUCGAACGGUAACAGGAAGCAGCUUGCUGCUUCGCUGACGAGUGGCGGACGGGUGGGUAAUGUCUGGGAAACUGCCUGAUGGAGGGGGAUAACUACUGGAAACGGUAGCUAAUACCGCAUAACGUCGCAAGACCAAAGAGGGGGACCUUAGGGCCUCUUGCCAUCGGAUGUGCCCAGAUGGGAUUAGCUAGUAGGUGGGGUAACGGCUCACCUAGGCGACGAUCCCUAGCUGGUCUGAGAGGAUGACCAGCCACACUGGAACUGAGACACGGUCCAGACUCCUACGGGAGGCAGCAGUGGGGAAUAUUGCACAAUGGGCGCAAGCCUGAUGCAGCCAUGCCGCGUGGAUGAAGAAGGCCUUCGGGUUGUAAAGUACUUUCAGCGGGGAGGAAGGGAGUAAAGUUAAUACCUUUGCUCAUUGACGUUACCCGCAGAAGAAGCACCGGCUAACUCCGUG
rnacentral:rRNA from 1 species